GGUGUCCGGCUGGUAGUAACUGGCGGACUGGUACUGCCCCGGAGUUGGAUAGGCCUGUGGGCCCAUGUACCCGAGUCCCGUGGGCUCUUGGGGUCCUGACACCUUUCAGACAGCGAUAAAUGAACCCCCGAGAUCACGUGGCCCGGGUCCUCCAAUGGGCCCUUUCCGAGGCUCUUGGAAGUCUUCUGUAUUAUCAGUAGGGGUCCCGGAUUCAAAGGUAAUGGCGUGGCAUUGCUGUGUAGAGCGACCGCUUCACUUAGCAGCGACCCGGCAGCUCGGCAGCCAUCCUAAACACACGCGGGACGGCUCGGCCCCAAACCUGGAGCUGCAAAACAAAACAAAUAUCAAAAACACAAGACCCAAACGAAAGACAAUGGAGACUCGCUUCUUAAAAGAUCUGGAGAGGGACGGAUCUGUAUAAGAGACGCCUUUCGCUGUCCUCGGGCGCUCCACCUGCAUUUUAUUUCGCUUUACCCCCCCCCCCCCCCCC